AGCUGGAGGCCACUCCAGACCCUGAGUUGAUUCCUGCACCUGAGCCCAUUGGAGACCUUGAGGUUACCACAGAGAAAGAGGGUCUGGGUGAAGAGGAGGAUCAGUAUGAGAUUGGAACCUAUUGAAAGGGUAUGUAUGGGAUGAUGGUACUGCUAUUUUAGAGGGAAAUAACCUGCACAUGGCAAGCAGGUUAGCACUUAUUGGGAUGGCUCCGCAGAAUGUUCACUAGCUGGCACAGCCACAAAGUAAUAAAAUAUGAUUUUUAAACAUUAACCUCACUGCCAACCCUAAUGCCUAACAUUAAAUUAAAAGCAUACAUUGUUACAAUGUAGCCAAUUUUGACUUUCCAUCUGGCACAUCUAGUGGAAAUCGCUCGGUAUUGUCCUGGAGGCAGAACUGUCUCAAUAAAUGUCAACCUGCACAUGGCAAUUGCCAGUAUCACUUAAAUAUCUGCUUUUGAUGUGGUUUCAUAAAGNNNNNNNNNNUAUCUCCACGGACGAGUGGAGGUAUCGAUAUACCUGGCUUCCCUGCCUCAACAGGGGACAGGAAGCUCGUAUCACCUGGCAGUCUUUGGCGUGGCAUGGACUUCAAGAGAGGACCUUAUUUCGCCCAAUCCCAAAAUGAGGUUAGUCCCUUGGGCCCAAGGGUCGGACCCAACAACAAGCACGGUCUUGUUAGCUCUGCAACAUAUGAUGGCUUCGUCAGGCAGAAAGAACUAAUCGCCCAACGAGGUAAUGACAGUACGUUACUGUUUUGAAUGUAUGAUAAUUGCAUGUAGGCUCUGUGCUAAAUCGUCUGUUCUCAGAGCUGGAGGCCACUCCAGACCCUGAGUUGAUUCCUGCACCUGAGCCCAUUGGAGACCUUGAGGUUACCACAGAGAAAGAGGGUCUGGGUGAAGAGGAGGAUCAGUAUGAGAUUGGAACCUAUUGAAAGGGUAUGUAUGGGAUGAUGGUACUGCUAUUUUAGAGGGAAAUAACCUGCACAUGGCAAGCAGGUUAGCACUUAUUGGGAUGGCUCCGCAGAAUGUUCACUAGCUGGCACAGCCACAAAGUAAUAAAAUAUGAUUUUUAAACAUUAACCUCACUGCCAACCCUAAUGCCUAACAUUAAAUUAAAAGCAUACAUUGUUACAAUGUAGCCAAUUUUGACUUUCCAUCUGGCACAUCUAGUGGAAAUCGCUCGGUAUUGUCCUGGAGGCAGAACUGUCUCAAUAAAUGUCAACCUGCACAUGGCAAUUGCCAGUAUCACUUAAAUAUCUGCUUUUGAUGUGGUUUCAUAAAGNNNNNNNNNNGCCAGACAUCACAUCCUGGAUUAAUGUGACUCUGUCCCAAGGUUCCUGAUUGAGCAUGUAAGCUACAGGGCAUUCUGAGACAUUGGGCUUGCUAUGAAGGGUCUGAGGAAUGGGUGGACUGCACAGGAGGUUGGUGGCCCCUUAAUUGGGAAGACCGGGCUUGUAACUGCAGUGGAAUGGUAUGAAACCCAUGGUUUCCCGUCUUCCCUCAACCUCCACUGGCGGACUGGAACCAGAAAUCGGCACUGGCAUUUCUAACUGGUCCUUUUCCAUAAUCCGCCCCUCUUUUGAGAGACUUAGACUAUUGUCCAGAAGGAUCAUUUAGUGCUAAAACCCAAGUGUUUGGGUUUAGUGUGGUGUGGGCCUAGCCUCAAUCAAUGGAAAGUUCCUCCCUGACUACAUUGCAGAUGCCUACCAGAUCUUAAAAUGCCUG
rnacentral:lncRNA from 13 species